rnacentral:lncRNA from 1 species
AGCUUUCUGGUCCUGUGAGCUUCAACAAGAUCAAUGUUGUUCCAGGUGCAUUUGAAUCUCGAAGAAACAGUGGGUGAUUGAAAGGUAAUCGUGCAAUUUCAUCAGUCGCCGUAGCUGGGCUCAACUUCUGCAACUUCUCAAAAUUUUGCAACUUCAAUCACUCCGAUCUACGCAAUUACAGGGAUCGGGGCUUUGAUACCAUGUUAAUUUGUGAAAUCUACACACAAUGAUCCUAAAAUGAUAGCAUGCAAUUGAAUUCAAAGAAUCAUGAAAGAUCUAGAAGAAGGAAAUAAAGAGAAAACAAACGCAUUUUUGCUUCUG